rnacentral:rRNA from 1 species
AGCGAACGCUGGCGGCAGGCUUAACACAUGCAAGUCGAGCGCUCGUAGCAAUACGAGAGCGGCAGACGGGAGAGUAACACGUGGGAACGUACCCUUUGGUUCGGAACAACACAGGGAAACUUGUGCUAAUACCGGAUAAGCCCUUACGGGGAAAGAUUUAUCGCCAAAGGAUCGGCCCGCGUCUGAUUAGCUAGUUGGUGGGGUAACGGCUCACCAAGGCGACGAUCAGUAGCUGGCUGAGAGGAUGACCAGCCUCAUUGGGACUGAGACACGGCCCAAACUCCUACGGGAGGCAGCAGUGGGGAAUAUUGGACAAUGGGCGCAAGCCUGAUCCAGCCAUGCCGCGUGGAUGAUGAAGGCCUUAGGGUUGUAAAGUCCUUUUAACGGGGAAGAUAAUGACGGUACCCGUAGAAUAAGCCCCGGCUAACUUCGUGCCAGCCGCCGCAGUAAC